UCCCAAACCGCUAGCUGAGCGUUUUCCUCUUCCAUCUGCUAUUUCUCACCUCCCUCGCCUUUCUCCAAGGACCUCCCGGCUGUUGCCGCAACUAACCAGAGCCGGCGCCUAACUAGCCCACCACUCCUUGAACAUGUUGCCAGAGCUGGCGCACGCCUACCGUAGAUCCGGCAGCCUUGAGCUCCACCGUCACCAACAGCGGCGACAACCACAUAGGCCAGAUGGGAUCUGGUGGCCUCAAAAUGGUGGGACCCAGCAGUAGUGUUCGGCUAUCAGAUCCGGUGGAAGCUCAUCUUGGGGCGACAACAGAGAUAGCCACGCUGAUUCGGUUGUACGAACUAUUUGCAGCUCACACGAGAGCCGACCUCGACUUUGACUACAGCCAGAGGUGAAGGAUUGCGCAGGGUCGGCACCCCCGCAUCAACAACCUAGACGUCCGUCUCCGGCUUCAUCGGCGAGCUCCAGCCGAACGACCAGAAUUCUGUCUUCCUCUAUGAUGAGCUAGAUGAUGUCAAAUGCACGACUACCAAUGGUGGCCUCAUCGGUGGUGCCAUCUUGUUCUUAGCGAGUGGGAAGCAACACUGGAGGCAGUCCGAGCCGUGAGAAUGAUCACGAUGUUAAUGAGGACGUGGAUGAUAUCUACUCCAUGAGGAGAUGAUACAUAUAGAGAUGAACGUUUUGACCCAUAUAGUGAUGACAAUUAUGAUCGCUAUAGUGAUGAUGGUGGCAAGUCGAACGAGCUGCAUAGUCAUGCAACAAAGUGAAGUUCCAAAAUUUACGACAAUUUAGGUUAUGAGAACUGUUCGGACAUGUAUGGAGUAUUUUUUUUGGCAUUAUGAUCUAUGUAUUCUGGAUGAAACACAUUAGGCUUUUGAUGAUCUAUGUGUACGCACUUGGUCACAAGUCUUGGUAAAUAUAAUACAUGUUAU